rnacentral:sRNA from 2 species
GUACGGUCAUCGCCGAAUCCCCGUGGUGCGAGCCAUGGGAGCCGGGGACCCACACGCAGUCCCGGGGGUGAAUCGGGCGGCCUUGAGAGAGGGGCCCGUAGGAGACCUUCCUGCUCCGAACCCGUCAGCUAACCCGGUAGGCGAGAAGGAAGGAAAGG